UUUGACACGUAAAGCAACUAAUUGGCGAACAAUAGCUAUCGAUUCUGGAUGUUGAGCAAUAAACUAUUGCUCCCAUACUCUGCUGAUUCCGAAUUUGCUGAAAGGGAAAACCGUUGCCACUUGCCACAAUGAGCUUCCAACUCUUAACCAAAGCGACAAAGCGAACUGCGACAAAGCGAACUGCGUUUUCGUAUCCUUUCUCACUCGGAUUUUCUCACCGAUCGGAACGGUCUUCAUUCGGCAUCGCUUUCGACAUCGACGGUGUCCUUUUGUUCGGAACCUCCCCUGCGGUGGUUCUCCCGGUGCACUGAAAAAAUUAUACGGCGCCGAUGGUAAACCAAAUAAAUAAA